CCUACGUGGCGCAGCAGUGGGGAAUAUUGGACAAUGGGCGAAAGCCUGAUCCAGCCAUGCCGCGUGUGUGAAGAAGGCCUUCGGGUUGUAAAGCACUUUCAGUGGGGAAGAAAGCCUUGGGGCUAAUACCCUCGAGGAAGGACAUCACCCACAGAAGAAGCACCGGCUAACUCCGUGCCAGCAGCCGCGGUAAUACGGAGGGUGCGAGCGUUAAUCGGAAUUACUGGGCGUAAAGCGCGCGUAGGCGGUCUGAUAAGCCGGUUGUGAAAGCCCCGGGCUCAACCUGGGAACGGCAUCCGGAACUGUCAGGCUAGAGUGCAGGAGAGGAAGGUAGAAUUCCCGGUGUAGCGGUGAAAUGCGUAGAGAUCGGGAGGAAUACCAGUGGCGAAGGCGGCCUUCUGGACUGACACUGACGCUGAGGUGCGAAAGCGUGGGUAGCAAACAGGAUUAGAUACCCCUGUAGUUC
rnacentral:rRNA from 1 species